rnacentral:misc_RNA from 1 species
GUCGAUACGAGUCCACGCUUGUCGGUGCGUCGCUCUGCAAUAUGUCAUCAAGAAGCGCAAAAUUAGUAAAUGCUGCUUUACGCAACGAAAACUUUGUAAAGGAACAGAUAUCUGUCCCAUCAACAAGUGCCAUUAAAAAUUCCGUACAGGCAUCAAGUGAGGAAAUUUGGUCAGAUUUUGAUUCUGAUGAUUCAUUAUUAGACAAAGAUUACGAAUUACCUAUAACAUGCCAACAAAAC